UACGAAGGGUGCGAGCGUUGUUCGGAAUUACUGGGCGUAAAGGGCGCGUAGGCGGCGAACCAAGUCAGAUGUGAAAGUCCUGGGCUUAACCUGGGGACUGCAUUUGAUACUGGUUUGCUUGAAUUCGGGAGAGGAUAGCGGAAUUCCCAGUGUAGAGGUGAAAUUCGUAGAUAUUGGGAAGAACACCAGUGGCGAAGGCGGCUCACUGGCCCGGUACUGACGCUGAGAUACGAAAGCGUGGGGAGCAAACAGG
rnacentral:rRNA from 1 species